CCUUCAAGGACUUAGCCAAAUUUUCCGCUUUUUCAUCGUUUUAGCUCCGUUUUCGCUCGUUUUUGCUCGUUUGACCUCCGAUUCAUUUCAAAUCGAACCGAGACUCUCCAAACAUGUUUUCGAACAUAUUUUCAUCAUCUUUUCACCCACGCUAAUGCCGGAUUUAACUCACGGUUCAACAUAGCCUUUCGGCUCCGUUUUCGCGCCCUAUGCGCACCGAAGCACCCGAAUGCUCCCGAACUUCGCCGGGACGAUUCCAAUGGCUUUCUAAGCUAACUUACAUCGUAACUUCGUGAAUUUAGAAGUUCGGUAUAUUACAUUCUCCACCCCUUAAAAGAAUUUCGUCCGCGAAAUUCAAACACAACUCGAUUCAGCUCCUCGAGCAAUUGAGGGCACCAAUACACUUUCCACUUCGGAAUGGCUUUACACUCCUUGGAACUAUCCAAAAGGACUACCACGGAGUUCAUGAUACUAAAUGCAUCCAAAUUUGCAAGGCGCAUCUCACAAAGUGCAUUAGGGUAUCCAUCACUCUUGGUGGCGGCGCAAGUCGAAACUCAACGACUCCACGCGCUCCAAUACCACUUGUCACUUGGCAUACAAGAACUCUUCUUCGCAUUUACUUUCCCCUCAGGGAAUACACUCCGAUUCUAUCUCCAACAUUGCUUAAAAGCAACAUCACUAGUGCAUCGCUUCACCGCGAGUGCUUUAAUUCCGCACCGAUCUUUAGCUCUAACAUGAGCCACCUCGGCACAUCCCAAAUCCAAUCCUCAAACUCCACGUGGCUUCUCACAAGUUCAAGGUCUCACCACGAGCACUUCAUCUUCUGAUACCAUAUGCCACGGCCAACGUCUUAUUACUUUCGCAAAGAGCUCACAUGAACACGUUAUUUGUGAACUCAAAUCAAACUCCCCGAUAAGGCUAUUCGCCAAAUCACUUUCCUCGACUUUCCACAGGUGGGCCAAAGGCCACCCAUACUACGUAGGCCUACAGCCUAAACCCGUCUCAAUACUCGACGUCCCUCGCUCGCAAGCGUAGACCCAAUCAUCGUUGGGGCGAAAUUCUCACUGGGAAAUUCGCACACACUCCAACCAGGAGCAACUAAAAUCCCAAACCGUUACAGAUUCCCGGGUUGGGUCACACUCGCACUCUCAGUAUACUAUCAAUCGCACUAUACGCUCUAUAGCACAAUACGUACCACUAUCAGCUCCUUUGCACCUAGUGCGAGCCACCAGCCCCACGAGUGAUCCGUGGCACGCUUCACACCUAGCAAUGCUCAGGUGCUACUGCCAACACACUCAUCCGGCUGAACUAAAUCCGCACUCCACGAGUAACUAUACUCGAGCGCUAUAUGCGCCUCUAUAGCAUUCCAACUAUGUCAAGCAUCAGGCAACUUUGCCUAUGCACACCGGCCACACGAGCACGACUCACCCACCUCAAUUCGAGAUACUACUAGGCCAACGCGCCCGUAUUUGGCAGCCAAUCGCUCUACCGGAGCAACAUCUAGAACACUCAAACCAUUCGAGUGUCCACAAGUGUCAUGACACAACUCUUGCAAUCAAUUACAUACAUUGCUCUGCAAGUUGGUUCGUCAUUUCCACCUCUACUACAAGUCUCAUCAUUAGACCAUCACUAGCAACUCGCUAGUACCAUCCAGUUCUCUACCUGCACCGGCAGGUGCAACGCUCUCACCACAUAAGCGUGCCCGGGUACUUACAUUUAUCCGCGCACUUGGAUCCUACUAUGCUACUACAUAAAUAGUAGUAAUUAAUUACAUGCUCAAUGCAUGCAAUGCACCAACUUUACAUUAUGCAGAAACACAUGACUGCAUUAAUGGCUCAUACCUGCCAUGACGUUGUCAGCAGCAGGUUCCAUAUCCCGGACAUAGUUCACGAUAGGGAGAAUUCCCGUUCGUACUCUCUAACUGAGCGGUCUCCUUGCCGCAGCUUCCUGAACUUGUCCUGAAGCUUUCUCUUUUCACUGUCGGGGGAAGUCAGUAGAAGAUACCAAUCCCCGAAACUCAUCCCAUGCCAUGGAGGAAUACUAGGUGAUCGGUUCCGCCGAAUGCCUUUCCACCACGCCUUAGCCGACUGUUUCAAACAAUACACGACUAGGGGUACCCUGUCCAGCUCCAAGGUAGACAGCUCCUCGAAAAGCGUUUCCACAGAGUCAAUCCACGUAUCCACAAUCCACGAAUCGACAUUCUCUCCAUCGAAGAUAGGUGGAUCAAACUUUAUGAAGGUCAUGAGGGCUGCCAAAGCCCGCUCUUUCUCAUUCUUUUCCUUUCCUUCCUCUCUCUUUCUUUGUCCUCUAGAGAGAGAAAGAGAAGUGAGAGAGUGUGAGGGUGAGGAUGAGAAAAUAUCUCAUUCACCCAUCAUACUCAGCCUAUUCAUUGCAAAAUUGCAACUAAGUCUCUCAACUUUUAUUUCACAACACUGCCCAAACUGGGCAGACUUCGGGCUCUGAGACCGGUCUCCCCGACCAUGGGACCGGUUCCUGAGAGCUCUCCCCGCGGCAGCAGAGCUCGUGCGCAAUGCAACCGCUCUCCCCUGGUGAGACCGGUCUCUCGGGGACCGGUCUGUCCCCUUGGGACCGGUUCCCGAGAGCUGCGUUUCCAAGACUUAGCCAAAUCUUCAGUUCCCAGACUCCACACGCGCUCGGGGACCGGUCUCCCCGACUUGGGACCGGUCCCUGAGAGCUGAAAACCUGCAGCUUUGCAGAUUUUCAAUUCCAACGCUCUCGAAGACCUCUCCGAGGCACUUUUACUCAUUUUGACGUCCUCGGCCUCUCCGAAGCACACCCAUUUCAUACUUUGGUCACUUUGACUAAAGUUCGAUAUUUCGACCACCGAGUUUCGAUAUAUUACAUCUACAAUUUUUUUUUUGGAGUCUCUUAAUUCCCUCCCCUUGGUGCAUAGCAGCCUCUUGCGGCCGCUGCACCACAUCAGCUUGUUGCCUCACCACACCCACAAGCGUGGCCAACUGUUCGCGAAGUUCCAAGUCUCCGCGCGCCUCGGAUUGCUCAGGGACAUCACUUGUCCCACCCCGCGUCGAUCUAAACGAAGAUCGCCUACGCGGUGCCAUCGUUACCUAGAACAUGACAACUCAACUAACUCUCAACCUUCUAGGUCGAGUAUGAAACAAUUGACACCAACUCAAAUCGGGCGAAAGUCAUACAAGGGCAUCUAUUCUCAUCACUCGGUUUCAUGUUGUACGCGUCCAACAUGAACACCCUCGGUUGAGAAUAGACAACACCUUGGAUCUACCUCUAAUCUCCUUUUUAGAGGUUUACAACACAACCCAAUCCCUUAACCUUUCGCCAAAAGUCAUAAGUCCUCGUCUCUCACGAGCCUUAAUCUCCUAUGGUUUACUAUCCUAGGGUCUCCUAGGUUCAUCUAAACCACUUUUCCAUUCUCUACUUUAUGCUCUGAUACCAUCUUAUCUGUCACGCCCCGAGCCCGCCUCUUUGGUCGGAUUCGGGCACGCCAACAGACCGCCGAACGGACAGGGUUUCCCCUACACGCGGACAGAGUCUCCCCUGUACGUUCAAGGCGUCGCAAUCAAUACAAUUACAAGAGGUUCCAAACAGGAACAAUUUUCAACAACGAUUGCAUAAGGAAGGUAUCAAACAACAUAACACAUCCUAUAUUAUUACAAUCAUUCAUCUCAUCAUUUUACAUCGCAUUUUUCAUUACAUUGAUUCUCAACUUCCAAAUAUACAAUCGAUUUCUUUUCUUUUCUUUUCUUAUACCCCUAAGGAGCCGACUCAGGGUACUGCUAUCUGGUCUCUGUGGUAGGGCGCUAACUACGGAGCUACGCCCUUUCCUCGCGCCGCCGCGCCGCUCGCGUGUGAACCUGUACCCCCAAAAACAACAACACGGAGGUGAGACUAUUGUCCAUAGUCGUCAGUGGGUACAGCCACCCAAGGGAAGAGCUCAACCCACCAGGUCCAAAGGAGGCACUGCAACAUGUUAGUCCAACAGAUAUAUACAUAUAACAUCAUGCAAUACAUGUUCAUGCCUCACAAAUAUGCAAAUUAUGCAACUCUUAGUCAUUCUUUACCAUUAGCCUUUCUUUAGAAUAUGCAAUUCUUUAUCAUUAGCCAUUCUUUAUUCUUUAUUCUUUGCUAAGGGCACUCGCACCUUAGGCCCAUUAUACACAUUUGCCAUUCUUUAUAACAUUAACAAACGUUUCUCAAUUGUCAUUCUUACUCAAUUGUCAUUCUUUCACAGGGUUACCUUUACCCUAGCCAGCUAUGCCACUCGACUCGGUCUUGAGUCAAUUCAUAAUGAAUACAAGAUCCACUUUCCAAUCCAUGAUUCCUUUUUGUUCUUUGUUCUUUAAUCUCACGGCUAACCCGGGGGUUUCGCCACAUUAACUUGCUUCACAUUAAGUCCAUCAUCGCAGGAACUCACCAGCUAGGACCGUCCUUCGGGUUUACUCCAACCCGUGAUGCAAAACUCCGGAGCGCAUCGCCCGAGGGGGAGCGACCGCCCUCGAGCACGGAACUCAUAGCAAGUAUGAUCAUAUCCUUAACUCAAAGGAUUUGUAGUUGAAUCAUGGCUUUACACUAACUUUAGUGUUCUUUACAUCACAUUAGUUGCUAACUCUAGCAAUCAUUGUUCUUUACACCCAACUUGUCAAUUACUCUAGUAAUUGUCAUUCUUGAUACCACACUUGUUCUUUUGUUGCCUCACACUAACUCUAGUGUGCUUCAUGUCACAUUGGUUGCUAACUCUAGCCAUUAUCAUCGUUCUUUACACUUUGCUUGUUCUUUAUGCCACAUUACUUUACAUCGCCUCAAGCCAUUAUCAUUAUUCUUUACAUCACAUUGCUUUGCCUUGUCUCAAGCCAUUAUCAUUAGGUUCUCACAUUACAUCUCCUGCAUACACAUAGAUUAUUUAGAUUCUUAAUCAUUCUAAUAAGCACGUGUACUCACAUCAUGCAACAUUACAUUAUUAUCAUCACAUUGUUUUACAUUAUCUUUAGCCAUUAUCAUUAUUCUUUACAUCACAUUUAUUCUUUGUUGUGCCACACUAACUCUAGUGUCCACUUUACCAUUUCGAAUGCCACUCGAUCUAUGUUCAACAUGCAUAUAUUUUGUCAUCCAUUGGUAGUCAUUACUUAGCAUUUUAUGUAUUCGUUAACAUUUACUACAUGCAUUCUCGGUUAGUACAAAUCUCAUACUUUCAUUUGACAUCUAUUUAGCAUUUCUAUAAUAUGCACAUGUAAAUUAACAUCAACUCAUGCAUUCAUUUGGCAUCUAUCUUUAUCAUGCAUUCUUAAAUAGCAUACUUUAUCAUGCAUUCUCAAAUAGCAUAUUUUAUCAUGCAUCAAUAGUAAACAUACUACACUUUGGCAUGGAAAGCGACCUAAUCGCUUCGGUGAGCACAACCCACCUCAAAACGCUUUCUGAUUGCUUGUCGACACUUGCAAUCGGCCUCCCGCGGCACUCGUAGCCCGGUUUGGCCCGAACUCUUGCGCGACCACCCGAACGACCACCAAUUCGCGAUCCGUCUAUUCGGGAGUUUAUUCCCCGACACCACGAUGCUCCCGAUCCAUUCUCAUGAUUUUUGGAGGCUUAUCCCGCGUGCUGCGGCUAUCUGUACCAAAACAGAUUGUUUCGUCAAUAACUUCGCGUACACUCGUCGGAUUGUCGAACCGAGCGCACCAACGCGUUCGUUUGGUCCCCAAUUAGGUUUAUAGAGGGUCAAUUGAGAUCAAACCCAACUAUUUACAAAAACCCUCUUUAGGAGCCCUAAUAUGCAACUAUUGCAAAAUCCACCAUUUCAUCUCAUGAAUCAAGCAUAAACCAUCUAUUUAGCAUGCUAGGAUUCCAUUAAAAUCAUCUUUAGAGUAUAAGAACUUAACCCUAAAGAUCUACCAUUAGAGAGCAUAAGGCUUACCUCUCUAAGCUUGCUCCCAUGGCUCAAGGAAGGAGAUGAAGAUGAAGCUCCAUCUUCUUGGCCUCUUCUCCUUCAUCUUCUUCUUUUUCUUCUCUUUCUUUCUCUUCUUCUCCUUUUCUUUCUAGAGAGAGAGAGGGAGAGGUUUUGGUGUGGGAGAGUGAGAGAAAUGAGAGAAAGAGAGAAAGGGUCCUCUCUAUACACUCUCAUAAGUGCCAUUUUGCACUUAAGCCCCUCCACAAUGCUUCCCUCGCAACAGCCCAAACUGGGCAUUUUCGGGCUUCGGGGACCGGUCCUUGCGAUGAGAGACCGGUCCCUGAGAGACCGGUCCUUGGCUGAGAGACCGGUCCCCGAAGGUCCAGAAAUCAGCCUUCAAGGACUUAGCCAAAUUUUCAGCUUUUUCACCGUUUUAGCUCCGUUUUCGCUCGUUUUUGCUCGUUUGACCUCCGAUUCAUUUCAAAUCGAACCGAGACUCUCCAAACAUGUUUUCGAACAUAUUUUCAUCAUCUUUUCACCCACGCUAAUGCCGGAUUUAACUCACGGUUCAACAUAGCCUUUCGGCUCCGUUUUCGCGCCCUAUGCGCACCGAAGCACCCGAAUGCUCCCGAACUUCGCCGGGACGAUUCCAAUGGCUUUCUAAGCUAACUUACAUCGUAACUUCGUGAAUUUAGAA
rnacentral:lncRNA from 1 species